GGCAUAGCUAUGUCUCUCCCCCUCCCUGUGGCAUGGCUAUGUCUCUCUCCCUGUGGCAUAGCUAGGUCUCUCUCCCUGUGGCAUGGCUAUAUUUUUCUCCCUGUGGUAUAGCUAGGUCUCUCUCCCUGUGGCAUAGCUAGGUCUCUCUCUCUCCCUGUGUAUAGCUGUCUCUCUCUCUCCCUGUGUAUAGCUAUGUCUCUCUCCCUGUGGCAUAGCUAGGUCUCUCUCUCUCCCUGUGGCAUAGAUAGAUCUCUCUCUCUCUCCCUUUGGCAUAGCUAGGUCUCUCCCUCUCCCUGUGGCAUAGCUAGGUCUCUCCCUCUCCCUGUGGCAUGGCUAUGUCUCUCCCUCUCCCUGUGGCAUGGCUAUGUCUCUCCCCCUCCCUGUGACAUGGCUAAGUCUCUCCCCCUCCCUGUGGCAUAGCUAUGUCUCUCCCCGUCCGUGUGGCAUAGCUAGG
ensembl:lncRNA